GGGCCUGUGGUCUAGAGGUAUGAUUUUCGCUUCGCAUGUGAAAGGUCCGGGGUUCAAUUCCCCGUAGGUCCA
rnacentral:tRNA from 1 species